AUUGAACGCUGGCGGCAUGCCUAAUACAUGCAAGUCGGGCGCGCGGCGGACGUGUGUGUAAUGUAUGGGGACUUGCUUUAUGGAGGGGGUUAAUUACUGGAAACGGUAGUUAAUCCCGAAUACCAUCAGAUGAUCCCUUAUGGGAUUAGCUUGUAGGUAAGGUAACGGCUUACCUAGGCGACGAUCCCUAGCUGGUCUGAGAGGAUGAUCGGCCACACUGGGACUGAGACACGGCCCAGACUCCUACGGGAGGCAGCAGUGGGGAAUAUUGCGCAAUGGGCGCAAGCCUGAUGCAGCCAUGCCGCGUGUAUGAAGAAGGCCUUCGGGUUGUAAAGUACUUUCAGUCGGGAGGCGUUACCGACAGAAAAAGCACCGGCUAACUCCGUGCCAGCAGCCGCGGUAAUUC
rnacentral:rRNA from 1 species